UGAGGUAACCGAACUCCCGAGGUAAUCGAGACUCCCGAGGUAAUCGAGACUCUUGAGGUAACCGAGACUCCCGAGGUGACCGAGACUCCCGAGGUAACCGAGACUCCCCAGGUGACCGAGACUCCCGG